GAAGUGAUUUUAUAUUUUUGUGUGAGUGAUUAUAUAUAUCAUAAUUAUUUUAAAAUAACUCCACUCUCCCAGGCUCCAUUUAACUCUCUAAACCCCACAAUUAGCGGUGAAGAACACGAGGAAUUCAGAAAGACGAAAAACGAUGAGGAUCUUUGGAAAGCACGUAUUUCCAGGCCAAAUCAUACUCUUCGCUUCUGGGGUUCUGUUCUUGGCUUCAACAACUUAUGAUGUUCACAGGUCCAUCAAGAACAACCAAACGCCUCCUACACAAGACCAGCUCAAGGCUCUUGAGGACUACCUCAAAUCCGUCCGUCGAUCCCCUUGACAUCCAACGCGCCAUAUUAUGCCACGUGGCCCCUUGACAUCCUCAAAUGUUUUGGAAAUAUAGAUAGCGACUCUAUGUAUAAUUAGGAGAUUUCAUUACCGAAAUUUUCUAUUGUUAAACCGAUGAAACUAUCGUAUGUAAUAUUUAUACUUCAAUAAUGCAUGUAUUGGGGUAUUAUUUUCCUCAAUUGUUUGUGUA